rnacentral:lncRNA from 1 species
UUAAUUUAUAACAACAUAUGACUUUUAACUAUGUUAUUCUUUGAGGUAUUUUAGCAUAUUUAUCUGCCUCUGUUAUCGUAAUUGUUACUAUUGACCAGCCAGGGUAAAAUUACAUAAAUCGCCAUGGUGAUACCUGAAUAAAAAUACAAUGAGAUAUCAACAAUUGUUUACUAGGCAUAGUAAUAGUUUGCUCAUGUAUAAUAUAAAGUUAUUUUAAAACUGGGUCACACAUAUACUUUGAAUCGCAGGAUCAAGUUCCACUGAAAAGAAAUCAGGAUUCUAAGGAAUCGUAGGAUGACAAAGGCAUCUGAGUAGAAUUAGCAUAGACAUGUUUGACAAUGAGCAAAGCUUUAAGCAUGGUAUUUCUUUUACCCUUUUACGGCAAAGUGAUGCCUUCUUAUGCAGAUACAAGGCUAUUUACUUUUGGAUAAUUGCACAAGACAGCCCAGAAUUGUAAUCUCAUUCCUAAUUCCAUAACACACUAAAAUGUUAACGAAUUCUUUCUGCAGGAAGCAAAGAGAUAUAUAAUCAGCACUAUGGACGGUACAACAUUGAUAAAAUAUGGAGGGAUGAUAUCUUACCCUGUCGUCUAUAUCUCAGGCACU